CUCUAAUUAAAAGAUAAAUAGUAUACUUACCUAGUAUUACCUCUGUAAUCUUCAAAUUGUCAGCACGCCAUGUUCUAACAUAGCCAGAAAAUAGAGAGCCUAUGGCUUAUUUAAGUGAGACCUUCUAAGACUUCAGUAUGUAAUAAGUUCACUUUUAUUGGAGAUGAUGAAUAGAAGUUAUGUGGACAGUACAACAACUAAGAUAUGUUAGAGUACAAGUCAGCAGUAAAUGCUUGUGUACACUUCUGAUUUUACUCUGCUUACCUUCCUUCCCUUUGUGUCAGAACAAUUUGCUAUAGAUACAAAGGUGGGUCCUAUGGCCCCAGUCUGUACUAGCAGUUUUCACACACAGAGCAAUGUUUGACUAAUAAUUCUAAUUUAUAAACCAUCAACAAUCCUAAAAACAGAUUAGCCAGCGAGGACUUUUUGUGACAAAUACCAUGGCACUUUUCCACACCGAACCACAUAAAAGGACUCUGGGUCAGAAAAAUGCAUUCAUUUAGGAUCAAGUCUUGCAGAAGUCCCAUGAUUGCCAAUGGAACAAGAAUAACAACCCUGUUGCCAGACUUUUUCUAGGCAGUGGGUGGCCAUGGAUAUAGUACUGUCCCUUCCCCCACCAACAGUCUCUGCCUUACAAGUUGAUUUCUGUUGAAGUCCAGCAACUGCAGUCUCAGGACAGCUGAAUAUCAGCCUGCGCUUACAUUCCUGGCUUGACUGCAGGGACUCUGACAACAGAGGUACAAAACAAAGAAAUGAAGAUGUGUAAGACAGUGCCUACAUUCAUCCUGCUGUUUACAGGUUAUUGUGUUAAACAUGUGCGUGUUGCUGCAAUGGAGCCUGGAAGCGAACCACCAACACCACCGUUACCUGUUUCUCAUUCCACACAACAUUUUCAACAAUCAACAACACACUCAGGAAGUGCCGCUUCCUCAACAGCAGUAAGUAAUACAUCUCUAUUAGGUAGGUUGACAAUUUCAAUGUGUAUAAUUCUGCUGAAUAUUCGGGUUGUUGUUGUUUUUUUUACCCAAGUUUUGAAUUUCCAGCUUCUACUGCCAUUGGGUAUAGGGAACAAAUGCAUGUGUAGACUCACAUGCAUUACGCAAGAAAAAACCUCUGUUUCAAUGAAACCAUAUCAAAGAAACUUCUUUAAUUGCAAAUCACAAUAUUUCUCUGGAGAUUUAUUUGAGUAUUAA
rnacentral:lncRNA from 1 species